UACGAAGGGUGCAAGCGUUACUCGGAAUUACUGGGCGUAAAGCGUGCGUAGGUGGUGAGUUAAGUCUGUCGUGAAAGCCCUGGGCUCAACCUGGGAAUUGCAUUGGAUACUGGCAGGCUAGAGUGCGGUAGAGGGUAGUGGAAUUCCCGGUGUAGCAGUGAAAUGCGUAGAGAUCGGGAGGAACAUCCGUGGCGAAGGCGACUACCUGGACCAGCACUGACACUGAGGCACGAAAGCGUGGGGAGCAAACAGG
rnacentral:rRNA from 1 species